rnacentral:rRNA from 1 species
UACGUAGGGGGCUAGCGUUGUCCGGAAUCAUUGGGCGUAAAGAGCGUGUAGGCGGCCCGGUAAGUCCGCUGUGAAAGUCGGGGGGCUCAACCCUCGAAUGCCGGUGGAUACUGUCGGGCUAGAGUGCGGAAGAGGCGAGUGGAAUUCCUGGUGUAGCGGUGAAAUGCGCAGAUAUCAGGAGGAACACCGGUGGCGAAGGCGGCUACCUGGACAGAAACUGACGCUGGAGGCGCGAAAGCUAGGGAGCAAACAGG